rnacentral:rRNA from 1 species
AUUCAAGCGCGUAAGAGCAUUUGGUGGAUGCCUUGGCAUAAAGAGACGAUGAAGGACGUGAUAGACUGCGAUAAGCUCGGGCUUGCUGUCAAUAAGCUUAACCCGAGAUUUCCGAAUGGGGGAACCCAAUCUUUCGAGAUUACUUAUAAGUGAAUUCAUAGCUUAUAAGAGUGAACCUAGGGAACUGAAACAUCUAAGUACCUAGAGGAAAAGAUAUUCCGUUAGUAGCGGCGAGCGAACGCGGAACAGGCCAGUGUUAUUUUUUACUAAACCAGAACUGCAUGGGAAGGCAGGCCAUAGUGAGUGAUAGCCUCGUAUGGGUAGAUAGUAAAAAAUAGCCUUGAGUAGGGCGGGACACGUGAAAUCCUGUUUGAACAUAGAAAGACCACUUUCUAAGCCUAAAUACUACUUUAUGACCGAUAGUGAACCAGUACCGUGAGGGAAAGGCGAAAAGAACCCCUAGCAGGGGAGUGAAAUAGAACCUGAAACCGAAUGCUUACAAGCAGUUGGAGCCUCAAUAUGAGGUGACAGCGUACCUUUUGUAUAAUGGGUCAGCGACUUAAUAUCAAUAGCAAGCUUAAGGCAUAUAGCUGUAGGCGAAGCGAAAGCGAGUCUGAAUAGGGCGACUUAGUUAUUGGUAUUAGACUCGAAACCGGGUGAUCUAGUCAUGUGCAGGUUGAAAGUGAAGUAAAAUUCACCGGAGGACCGAACCCACUAACGUUGAAAAGUUACGGGAUGACAUGUGAUUAGGGGUGAAAGGCCAACCAAACCCGGAAAUAGCUAGUUCUCCGCGAAAUCUAUUUAGGUAGAGCGUCGUGCGAAUCUUAUUGGGGGUAGAGCACUGAAAGGGCUAGGGGGAAGCAAUUCCUACCAAACCUUAUCAAACUCCGAAUACCAGUAAGUCUACACGGCAGACAGUCCAUGGGUGCUAACGUCCUUGGACAAGAGGGAAACAACCCAGAUCAACAGCUAAGGUCCCAAAAUAAUGGUUAAGUGUGAAAGGGAGUGGGAACUCCAAGACAGCCAGGAGGUUGGCUUAGAAGCAGCCAUCCUUUAAAGAAAGCGUAACAGCUCACUGGUCUAAUUAAGAGAUCCUGCACCUAUGCUACACAUCUUUCCCCUAAUACCAAUACAAAGCUGCAGUAAAGGUGCACGGGGUCUUUCCGUCUAACCACGGUUACUCGGCAUCUUAACCGAGAAUUCAAUUUCACUGAGUCGAUGUUGGAGACAGUGGGGAAAUCG